UACGUAGGGUGCAAGCGUUGUCCGGAAUCAUUGGGCGUAAAGCGCACGUAGGCGGCUUUCUAAGUCGGGGGUGAAAUCCUGGAGCUCAACUCCAGAACUGUCUUCGAUACUGGAAAGCUCGAGUCCGGGAGAGGUGAGUGGAACUGCGAGUGUAGAGGUGAAAUUCGUAGAUAUUCGCAAGAACACCAGUGGCGAAGGCGACUUACUGGACGAUUGUUGACGCUGAGGUGCGAAAGCGUGGGGAGCAAACAGG
rnacentral:rRNA from 1 species